rnacentral:rRNA from 1 species
UACGUAGGGUGCGAGCGUUAAUCGGAAUUACUGGGCGUAAAGCGUGCGUAGGCGGUUUUGUAAGCCAGAUGUGAAAUCCCCGGGCUUAACCUGGGAAUGGCAUUUGGGACUGCAAGGCUUGAGUUUGGCAGAGGAGACUGGAAUUCCUGGUGUAGCAGUGAAAUGCGUAGAUAUCAGGAGGAAUACCGAUGGCGAAGGCAGGUCUCUGGGCUAGAACUGACGCUCAUGCACGAAAGCGUGGGGAGCAAACGAGG